UAUGAUAGUUAUACAAAAUAUAUAAGAUAGAUAUUUAUAAUAAUAUAUAUACUAUUAGAUAUACCUUAGGGCCAGAAAUGCCCUAAUCUGUGUUGAUACAGUGAGUGGAUUCGUGCAAGCCUGUCCUGUACCAAAUGCAAACCAAAGCCUAUACUAUUAGAACACUAACUAGGUUGAUGUUGUCAUACGAGACUCCUGUGGUCAUCAAGACUGACCAAGGUACUCAGUUCAUGGGUGCAACUGUGCAGAAUUGGGCCAAAGAUGACACUGAAUGACAGUUUCACUAGCCCUAUAAUCCAAUGGGAGCAGGCCUAAUAGAAAGAUGUAACGAGAUCCUGAAGGCUGCUCUGAAGGCAGACUCACAGUCCUUGUAGGGGUGGACCAAGAGGUUUUAUGAAACCCUGCAGGACUUGAAUGAGAGACCAGAGAUGGUAGACCCAGUGCUUUAAGAAUUUUGCAGACAACUUGAGCCUCCCCUCUUAGAGAAGCAAGCACAGCUUGCUCAAGCCACAGGUUGGCUCCAUGAAUAAUCUGCUCCCUGCCCCUGAGUACAUGGAGCCUGGGAAACACAAGGUAAAAUGGCCUUGGAAGGUGCAAGAAGGACCAAAAUGGUGCAGUCUCUCUGCACCUUGGGAGAGAUUGUUAGAGUUUGGAGGAUCAGUAAACCCUCUGGUAGUCAAUGCAUGGCCAGCAGAGGUAGUAGUUGACACUGAUUUUCAUCGCUAAGGGGACACUGGUCACAUCCAUGAGGCAGAUUAGAGCCUUCCCUUUGGUACCUGAUCUAGUGAUCCAGACACAGGUGUCAGGCCAAAGUGUGUGGUACUGAAAGCCAGAACAUGCCUAAGUACAGGCAGAGGUGUUGAUUCAAGACUGAAAUAUGGCCUGUAUUCCACUGUGGAGGGCAGACAUACCCCUCCUUGUCCCUCUUAAACAUCUGUAUUACUCCCUUUGAGGUUAUUAAGUUCACAGGACAACUGGUAGGAGCAACACCACUCCAGCAUGCUCCAGUAUCCAUGAGGAAACAUCAUGACACCGAGUGGUGGAGGGUUGAAUUUCAGGGAACUGGCGAGUGUGAACCUGAAGUACUACUGAUCCUUGAAGAAGGCUGUUUGUUUUGGAUCCUAAAAAUCCAGUUUUUAAUGCAUAUGAGAACAGCAAUACCUAGGAUGAAGUGGCUCGUGUCAAAACAGAGCUUCCUUAAGCUUCUCUUUAACAGUGUGAAGGCAAAAAUGCACUGGAUAUUUUCACAAACAUGUAGUUUAACAACCUGCUUGGAGAGCCUUCUCUGCUAAUUUUACUCUCAGGUUUACACAUACUUUAGUACCAGCGCUACAUCAAAUGUUUCAUGACAGCUGCAGCUUGACCUGAAGAGUAUUUCUAGCCACUGAAAUAAAAAUUAUUUUUUAAAAAA